rnacentral:rRNA from 1 species
AAGCUGACGGAGCACGCCGCGUGAGUGAUGAAGGUUUUCGGAUCGUAAAACUCUGUUGUUAGGGAAGAACAAGUGAAUAGUAACUGAUGGCACCUUGACGGUACCUAACCAGAAAGCCACGGCUAACUACGUGCCAGCAGCCGCGGUAAUACGUAGGUGGCAAGCGUUGUCCGGAAUUAUUGGGCGUAAAGCGCUCGCAGGCGGUUCUUUAAGUCUGAUGUGAAAUCUUACGGCUCAACCGUAAACGUGCAUUGGAAACUGGGGAACUUGAGUGCAGAAGAGGAGAGUGGAAUUCCACGUGUAGCGGUGAAAUGCGUAGAGAUGUGGAGGAACACCAGUGGCGAAGGCGACUCUCUGGUCUGUAACUGACGCUGAGGAGCGAAAGCGUGGGGAGCGAACAGGAUUAGAUACCCUGGCUAGUCCACGCCGUAAACGAUGAGUGCUAGGUGUCAGGGGGUUUCCG